AGAUGCUCAUUCCACUUCUUAUGUUCGCCUUAGGCCUCAUAAACCCUGGGAAUGACGCAGAGCCGAUUUAGGGUGCCUAUUGCCCACCAGAACGAUGAAAGCCUCGCUUGCGACGCCGACAUCACACUGCGGGCACAACGUUGAGUGAGGCACCACCCC
rnacentral:sRNA from 1 species